AGCGAACGUUUGCGGCGGGCCUAACACACGCAAGUCGAACGGGCUAGCAAUAGUCAGUGGCGCACGGGUGCGUAACACGUGGGUAAUCAACCCUUCAGCUCGGGAUAACGCCUUGAAAGGGGCGCUAAUACCGGAUGCGACGCGAGGAGCCUCGGCGCUUCGCGGGAAAGAUUCGCAAGGAUCACUGAAGGACGAGCCUGCGGCCCAUCAGCUAGUUGGUGAGGUAAGAGCUCACCAAGGCGAAGACGGGUAGCUGGUCUGAGAGGAUGAUCAGCCACACUGGAACUGAGACACGGUCCAGACUCCUACGGGAGGCAGCAGUGGGGAAUAUUGCGCAAUGGGCGAAAGCCUGACGCAGCCACGCCGCGUGAGCGAUGAAGGCCUCGGUC
rnacentral:rRNA from 1 species